CGUGAGGGAAAGAUGACAAGCACUUUGAAAAGAGGGUGAAAAGGACCUGAAACCGUCACGGGGGAAGCGGAUUGCGUUGGCCUGGUGGGGGUCUGUGUGUUCAGCCCGUUGCUGGGUGCAUUGGCACAGAUCCUUAUCCGCCGUGGGUUUCCAGGGGUCGAAGUUGGACCCCCGGGGACUGAGGGCUCCCCUUUACGGGUUGAGGACGGCGGAGUGACGACGCGAUACGACCCGUCUUGAAACACGGACCAAGGAGUCUAGCGCGGGUGCGAGUCAAAGGGUGCAAGCCCGUGGGCGCAGUGAAAGCGAGUCCAUUAAAAACGGAACAGUUUGAGGCGGCAUAAGAUCGCUGAUCUUAAGACCGACCUAGAGCAGUUGCGCUGGGACCCGAAAGAUGGUGAACUAUGCCGGAGUAGGGCAAAGCCAGAGGAAACUCUGGUGGAGGCUCGUAGCGGUGCUGACGUGCAAAUCGCUCGUCAAACUUGGGUAUAGGGGCGAAAGACUAAUCGAACCAUCUAGUAGCUGGUUCCCUCCGAAGUUUCUCUCAGGAUAGCGGGCCGACAAGAGUUGUUUUGUGC
rnacentral:rRNA from 1 species